GAGACAAUAUUCCGGCUGAAACACAAAAUUCUCCAAGUGACAGUGAUGAAUCAUGGGAUAAGAAUACACAAGAAGAACAUAUAAGGCGACGGAUUUCAGUCAGAAGAGAACAUAUAAGAAAAAGGCUUGCAGAAGAGUCUGAACAAUCACUGUUACUUGACCAAAGUGAAGAUUACAGCAGUGCCAGAAUAGAAAAACGUAUGUUUGCCAUUUAGUCUAUUCACAUUGAGCAAAUACGUACAACAAAACAAAAUAAUU